UAACGUUGAAUAGCUAACCCCUAUGGCAGUGUCUUUUACAUUGACCUCUGCCCUUAUUUUACCUCUCUCUCAGUUGGCCACGUGUCACCACUGCAGCAUAUCUUCCAGACAUGGCCUUGUCUACAGGGAGUCCAUGGCAGCUCUAUCCAGGAACGUCAUGGCUCCCAGUUACACCAGGAGGCAUAGUUCACAGGCUAGAACCCUGCCACUGCGAGCUAGGGGAAGACUCAUCACCCAAAGGCCUGUCGGAGAGGCCAAGAAUCGGCCUAGAGCUCCAAGGCCCAAUCCUCCAGAGUUCAUUGCCAUAUCUUCCUCCAAGCUGGCCGGUGUGAAACAUUUUGUAUUUGUCCACCUAAGGAAGCUUUUUUCAUUGGGGGACACCCAGAGGCGCAGAAAGAGUGGCCUGAAACUUUUCUCCUGAAGUUUUGCAAAUAUAAUUUGAUGGUAAACAUCAAUGGGCUUGAUGAUCCACAAGGUGGCGCUCCAGUAAUUCAGUAGGAAGAAUCAGUGAUAGAGGAGUCAGCAGGAAGAUGCUCACUUGUCAAGGCUAAGACAUGCAGGUACUCAGACCUCCCACACCUGAGAGAUUGAAGAAUGGUGACUGCAGGCCUAUACCUUUGGCAGGAGUCUCUAUGGCGACCAGUAGCCAUGUGGGUGAGAUGGUUCUGGGUGGAAUGCAAGGCAAUAUUUUUGCAACACUUUUGAGCUUUCUACAUAUUUAUUGUUCUGAGGUAUGAUGUAAAAAAAAUCAGACAUACUAUUUCAUUUAGUCACAUGGUACAACACUUGUAUCAGUAUCAACUUUUAAUGUGAUUAGGUUUUUGAAAUAUAAUUGAAAGUCUGUAGAGUCAUAUGAUAUUGUUGCCUCCAGCUCAGGCCAAGAAGGAGCCAUUGCAUAUCCUGUUUAACAGUAAAUUGUAUUGGAUCAAGUGUGAGCUUAAUGACUGUAUUAUUAUUGUUGUCAAAUGUUUAAUGCAAUGUUAUAAACAUGUACAGCAGUAUAAUAUACUUGCUUGUUUAGAAAUAAUAUACAGAAACUAAUCUAAUAAAGGCUUAAAUGCUAUUUGGGUAAAAAUA